rnacentral:lncRNA from 1 species
ACAGACAUAAAUGCAAUCCUAGAAAGGCUUAGAAGAGCUUGUAGGGGGAGGCAUCCAAGGGGUGGAUGAGGUAGGUGAGAACCAGGGCCACAAGCAUUAGCAAAUAAGCAAUCCCCUGGUCGAUUGAUGUGCCUGCACAAGAGAAGAAAGAGUAUAUCAAUCCAACAAUCCUUCAACAGAUAACGAUCAAACAAGACUUAUACCCACAUCAAGAUCAAUGAAUUUGCAGUAAGAGAUGCAUUAAGAAAACAUAGUCUUCAUUACAUCAUACGAUCGCAACUAAUUUGCAACAUUUAACCAACGUUUAGCCCUAAAAAGAGGAACUUUACAAAAUGUUAAGAACACCGAACCUAUUAGCGAAACCCUAAUCCAUGUCACGCUAGAUCCGUAGACCUUCAACAUUAUCUCUGAUCUAAAAAAUGAGCGUCUACUUCAAAGAUACAAACUUUUACUCCAAUACGGCAUGGAUGUACGAACGAACAGAAAUCUACACUUGAACCGGAUCCUAACUGUUACAAACUAGUAAAAUCUAUGAAAAGGUAACAGAACAAAAGGGGAAGAGAACACAUCCAGCACGAAGAACAUAAAAAAGGGUCCGGUUUUUGGCUUCUAUAAAAUAACUGGAUAUAUAACGUGAAUACGAGAAAGAACGAAGGAAAAGAUCAAAUCACCGUCGCUGGUAGGUGAUGGGGCGGGAGCCUGAGCCUGGACGGACGGCACAACAGUCGCCAAGGCGAGAACCAAAACGGCCACUAAAACUUUAGGGAUUGCCGCCAUCUCGGCCGUGAUCUUCCUCCGCUUCGAAAAA